rnacentral:rRNA from 1 species
AUGAACGCUGGCGGCGUGCCUAAUACAUGCAAGUCGAGCGAACAGACGAGGAGCUUGCUCCUCUGACGUUAGCGGCGGACGGGUGAGUAACACGUGGAUAACCUACCUAUAAGACUGGGAUAACUUCGGGAAACCGGAGCUAAUACCGGAUAAUAUAUUGAACCGCAUGGUUCAAUAGUGAAAGACGGUUUUGCUGUCACUUAUAGAUGGAUCCGCGCCGCAUUAGCUAGUUGGUAAGGUAACGGCUUACCGAGGCAACGAUGCGUAGCCGACCUGAGAGGGUGAUCGGCCACACUGGAACUGAGACACGGUCCAGACUCCUACGGGAGGCAGCAGUAGGGAAUCUUCCGCAAUGGGCGAAAGCUUGACGGAGCAACGCCGCGUGAGUGAUGAAGGUCUUCGGAUCGUAAAACUCUGUUAUUAGGGAAGAACAAAUGUGUAAGUAACUAUGCACGUCUUGACGGUACCUAAUCAGAAAGCCACGGCUAACUACGUG